rnacentral:rRNA from 1 species
UGAAUACGAGACGCUAAGGCGUCGAAGUAGUGUAUGUCAUACUUCCAAGAAAAGCUUGCACUGUCAUAGAUAAAAAACGCCUGUACCAUAACCGACACAGGUGGGUAGGUAGAGUAUACUAAGGGGCGCGAGAUAACUCUCUCUAAGGAACUCGGCAAAAUAACUCCGUAACUUCGGGAGAAGGAGUGCCUUAUUUUUAAGGCUGCAAUAACAAGAUCCAAGCAACUGUUUAUCAAAAACACAGGUCUCCGCUAAGUCGUAAGACGAUGUAUGGGGGCUGACGCCUGCCCAGUGCCAGAAGGUUAAAGAAGUUGGUUAGCUUUUGCGAAGCUGAUAACUGAAGCCCUGGUGAACGGCGGCCGUAACGAUAACGGUCCUAAGGUAGCGAAAUUCCUUGUCGGGUAAGUUCCGACCCGCACGAAAGGCGUAAUGAUUUGGAUACUGUCUCGGAGAGGGGCUCGGUGAAAUAGACUUGUCUGUGAAGAUGCGGACUACCUGCACCAGGACAGAAAGACCCUAUGAAGCUUUACUGUAACUUGAAAUUGAAAUUGGACUUUAUUCGCGCAGCAUAGGUGGGAGGCGUUGAUUAUAAUCUCGUGGGAUUAUUGGAGCCAUCAGUGAGAUACCACUCUUGUAAUGUUAGAUUUCUAACUUUGAAUCAUUAUCUGGUCAAAGAACAGUUUCAGGCGGGCAGUUUGACUGGGGCGGUCGCCUCCUAAACGGUAACGGAGGCGUACAAAGGUUUCCUCUGAACGGUUAGAAAUCGUAUCUAGAGUGUAAAGGCAUAAGGAAGCUUGACUGUGAGACCUACAAGUCGAGCAGGGACGAAAGUCGGUCUUAGUGAUCUGACGGUACUGAGUGGAAAGGCCGUCACUCAACGGAUAAAAGUUACUCUAGGAUAACAGGCUGAUCUCCCCCAAGAGUUCACAUCGACGGGGAGGUUUGGCACCUCGAUGUCGGCUCAUCGCAUCCUGGGGCGGUAGUACGUCCCAAGGGUUGGGCUGUUCGCCCAUGAAAGCGGUACGCGAGCUGGGUUCAGAACGUCGUGAGACAGUUCGGUCCAUAUCCGGUGUAGGCGUUAGAAUAUUGAGAGGAGCCUUCUUUAGUACGAGAGGACCGAGAAGGACAUACCUCUGGUGUACCAGUUAUCGUGCCAACGGUAAACGCUGGGUAGCUAUGUAUGGAGUGGAUAACCGCUGAAAGCAUCUAAGUGGGAAGCCCACCUCAAGAUAAGUAUUCUCA